GUGAGUAACGCGUGAGCAACCUGUCCUUCACAGGGGGAUAACACAGCGAAAGUUGUACUAAUACCGCAUAAGACCACAACGGGACAUCCCGAAGGGGUCAAAGGAGCAAUCCGGUGAAGGGUGGGCUCGCGUCCGAUUAGAUAGUUGGUGAGGUAACGGCCCACCAAGUCGACGAUCGGUAGCCGACCUGAGAGGGUGAUCGGCCACAUUGGGACUGAGACACGGCCCAAACUCCUACGGGAGGCAGCAGUGGGGAAUAUUGGGCAAUGGGGGAAACCCUGACCCAGCAACGCCGCGUGAGGGAAGAAGGUUUUCGGAUCGUAAACCUCUGUCCUUGGUGAAGAGGAAGAGACGGUAGCCAAGGAGGAAGCCCCGGCUAACUACGUGCCAGCAGCCGCGGUAAUACGUAGGGGGCGAGCGUUGUCCGGAAUGAUUGGGCGUAAAGGGCGCGUAGGCGGCCCGGUAAGUCUGGAGUGAAAGUCCUGUUUUUAAGAUGGGAAUUGCUUUGGAUACUGUCGGGCUUGAGUGCAGGAGAGGUAAGUGGAAUUCCCAGUGUAGCGGUGAAAUGCGUAGAGAUUGGGAGGAACACCAGUGGCGAAGGCGACUUACUGGACUGUAACUGACGCUGAGGCGCGAAAGUGUGGGGAGCAAACAGGAUUAGAUACCCUGGUAGUCCACACUGUAAACGAUGAAUGCUAGGUGUAGGGGGUAUCGACCCCUUCUGUGCCGCAGUUAACACAAUAAGCAUUCCGCCUGGGGAGUACGGCCGCAAGGUUGAAACUCAAAGGAAUUGACGGGGGCCCGCACAAGCAGCGGAGCAUGUGGUUUAAUUCGACGCAACGCGAAGAACCUUACCAGGUCUUGACAUCCAGUAAAACUUGCAGAGAUGCAAGGUGAGCUUGCUCAUACUGAGACAGGUGGUGCAUGGUUGUCGUCAGCUCGUGUCGUGAGAUGUUGGGUUAAGUCCCGCAACGAGCGCAACCCUUAUUUUCAGUUACUAACGCGCAAUGGCGAGGACUCUGAAGAGACUGCCGGGGACAACUCGGAGGAAGGUGGGGACGACGUCAAAUCAUCAUGCCCCUUAUGACCUGGGCUACACACGUGCUACAAUGGCCACCACAGA
rnacentral:rRNA from 1 species